UACGGGGGGAGCAAGCGUUGUUCGGAUUUACUGGGCGUAAAGGGCGUGUAGGCGGCCAACUAAGUCCGACGUGAAAUCCCCAGGCUUAACCUGGGAACUGCGUCGGAUACUGGAUGGCUUGAAUCCGGGAGAGGGAUGCGGAAUUCCAGGUGUAGCGGUGAAAUGCGUAGAUAUCUGGAGGAAUACCGGUGGCGAAGGCGGCAUCCUGGACCGACAUUGACGCUGAGGAGCGAAAGCUAGGGGAGCAAACGGG
rnacentral:rRNA from 1 species